rnacentral:rRNA from 1 species
UACGUAGGGUGCAAGCGUUGUCCGGAAUUAUUGGGCGUAAAGAGCUCGUAGGCGGUUUGUUGCGUCGGCUGUGAAAUCCCGAGGCUCAACCUCGGGUCUGCAGUCGAUACGAGCAAACUAGAGUGUUGCAGGGGAGACUGGGAAUUCCUGGUGUAGCGGUGAAAUGCGCAGAUAUCAGGAGGAACACCGGUGGCGAAGGCGGGUCUCUGGGCAACAACUGACGCUGGAGGAGCGAAAGCGUGGGGAGCAAACAGG